rnacentral:lncRNA from 1 species
GACCUUUCUAUAAGUUAUAUGAUAUAAUGAUAGGACCUAACGCAUCCAGAAUACUGCUAAUUUUUUUCCUAGGCAACAGAGUACUACUAAAUUCUUUUAUGCAUUUGCUCAAACUACUAUAUUUUUGGAUUUAGAAGCCAACCCAAAUCUUUUAUAGUAGUUGUAGCUGAGACACAAGAUGUGAUCACAAAAACUUAUUUUGAUAAUAUAAGGAUCCAGUUUCUCAUAUAUUCUAUGAUGUUUAAGCAGAAUAAUGUACCAGCAAACUCCAGAAAUAAAGAUAAGAGGAUUAAACAUGUGGUCAAAUAAAAGGUUCUAUAUAUAGCCAACUGAUUUAGCUAAGUGGCUGUUUGAUAUAGCAUGGUCUCAAUUUUUGGUUACCCAAAUAUUAGAUACAGUCACUACAAAAUAAUCAUAUUUGAUCAGGAGGGUCAUAAUCAAAAUAUGACCUGAUGCUUCAUGUCCUAUACCACAGGACAGAGCCAAAGCAAAUAAGAUGAGCAUCUCUUGGGAAAAAAAUAUUGAAAUGGAUGGAUGUUAAAUAAGAUGAGCACUUGCUCGGAUAGCAUCAUCUCUUGCUAUUUGGGCAAGAAGUCGGGAGUUCGAUUCUGCUUGGAGUCAACCCUCGAGGUUGUAUAGGGUAAAAAGGUGGGGAGUUAGCCUCUACUUGUCUACGGAAAAAAAAACUAAAUGGUCAUGCCAUGUAAGCAAAAAUAAAUGGAAGGCUCCAGUGAUGUAAAUGAUAAAAAUGAAUGUCUUCUCUCAGAAAUAAAAAAAAAGAAACAAAUAAAUGUAUGAGAUACCAUCUAAAGUAUGUGUGUUGGGGAUAUUGCUUCUUGAAGAUGAAAUUCUAGUCUCCAUACCCUUUUCCUAACUUCCUGGGAAGCCCUUUAAUGUUUCUCUAGCUGAUUUUCUUUUUCUUUUU